UGGUGGAGCGAUUUGUCUAGUUAAUUCCGAUAACGAACGAGACUCUGACCUACUAAAUAGUUGGCAGUUCAAUGCGACUGCAAAACUUCUUAGAGGGACUAGUGGUGCUAACCGCACGAGAUUGAGCAAUAACA
rnacentral:rRNA from 1 species